UACGGAGGAUCCAAGCGUUAUCCGGAAUCAUUGGGCUUAAAGGGUCCGUAGGCGGUUUUGUAAGUCAGUGGUGAAAUCUGGUCGCUCAACGAUCAAACGGCCAUUGAUACUGCAAGACUUGAAUUACUGGGAAGUAACUAGAAUAUGUAGUGUAGCGGUGAAAUGCUUAGAUAUUACAUGGAAUACCAAUUGCGAAGGCAGCUCGCUGGGACGUUACUGACGCUGAGACGCGAAAGCGUGGGGAGCAAACAGG
rnacentral:rRNA from 1 species